CUGGGGAGAGUGGGUGGCCACGUGGUCCACUGCAACUCCUCCCUAUGGUGAAGUGGAGUGGACUUCUAGGUCUAGGAAGAGGCAACAACGAAUUCAAAACAACCAGACAGGGAGAAUUUGUUCUACAGGAUUUGUAAACAGGGCUUGUAAAAUCAAUAGAAAUCAGGUAAAUGUCUUCUAAAGAAGAUUUUCAAACCUGAGUUAGAAAUAAAAAUAAUAGGUCUUUGAUCCUGGUGAAUAUAAUUCUACCACUUACUUUACUUCCUGUAGUACUUUUAAAUAGAACACAUUAAGCUCACCAGGGGAAUCCAGUUCUGACACGAGUCUGAGUUUCCUCUCAUGAACUGAAAGCAAUCUGUCCAAUGAGGAGAUUUGAGGACCAGUAAUUUACUACCUCAGCUGUAAUUUUAAAUGCUCACUCACUGCAGGGAUUGAAGCUUUCAUUCUAUAAUUACAGAGGAAUCAAAAGUCUAGUGCACUAAUGUAUUGAGUUAUGAUGCUGUCUAUUUAUAACACUCAUUUCUUGAGCAAUGGAUUUUUAAUAUGUUGGUGUGGCCUGGCUGUUGGUAAUAAUCCUAUUUACACAGUUGCUUCGUGGCUAUGGGCAGCAAUCCAAGCUCCUUAAGGAAAAAAAAUAUGUUUAUAGCAUUGUCGGUGCAAAAUAAAGGAUUUUGUGAGGUGUGUGUUUGUUUACCAAAGUUGCAAUUUUGCACUGCUAGGGUGCUUAAAUCCUAUUGACUGCAAUGAGGCUUAAACAACCAAAUUGUGUGGUGCAAGAUUACAAUCCAAAUCCAAAAUUGUGGUUCUUUUCCUAGGGUACAGAAAGAAAGAAAAUGCUUCUUGAUGUGCUCUUGCUGUUUGAAUUUGGCAGAGUGACACUAUAUUUGCAGGGACAUUUGGGUUAUUCUGGGGGGGGGGGGGAAUUGCAGCGAAUCAGCUGGAUUUGUAAGGCUGUUUAGGGCUGGUAAAAAUGUCUACUCCAGAAGUUAAAAGGUUGAUCGUAUGCCAGUGCGAUGUAUUAUGGCAUCAAAUUAAGUUUCUUCCUACCUUUGGUGAUUGUUACCAUUUAUAUUUCAGCAGGAGCAUGAGGAUUAAAGGAACAAUUCAUUGAUCUGGAGACUGUUAUAAAUAUAGAGGAGAGCCAGCGUGCUGUAAUGGUUAGGGUGCUGAGCUACAGACUCAGGAGGCCUGAGUUCAAUUUAUCAGUCAUCCAUGAAGCUUCCUGACCGUGGGCUAGUUGCCUUCGCUUCGCCUGGAGGAAAGGGGGACUGGAAACAGAGCACAUGAAUAAAUAUUUAGGAUGUGGUCUGAAGGCACAUGAGGCCACCACCUUGCUGUGAAGCUAAGCAGAUCUGGGUCUGGUCAGUGCCUAGAUGAGUCGUCUCCUGUAAAUAUUAUUAUCAACCAUGUGAAGUAUUAUUUAUUUAUUCAUUAAAUUUAUAUACCGUCCAUCUUAAGAUCUCAGGUAGGUUCACAGGUAGGUUAGGCUGAGAGACAGCAACUAGUCCAAAGUCACCCAGUGGACUUCAUGUCUUGAAGGAAUGUGGAGCACACUCCCACCCGCAGACAAGCCACAGCUGUCUGAACAUCAUGCCCUCUAUCUACCCUUUGGCUUUCUCAGUGGUCUGCCCUGCCCUGCCUGUGACCUUUGUCUCCUUCGUCAUACAUUGUUCAAGGGGAAAGUGACGCGGUGGAAGAAGAUGCCAAAAUAACUUUGUACCACCCCAUGAUCGCGUGAUUGGAAGAUGUAAAGGGCACAGUCCAAAAUGUAUCUGACUGGCUUUGCAUACUGUGC
rnacentral:lncRNA from 1 species